rnacentral:rRNA from 1 species
CUAGUUAGCAUCAAAUUCUUUUAACUAGGUGGCUACAAGGGCAACCACCAGGUCAUUGCAGAAGGCAUGUCAGACAACUAGUGCAGUUGACCUUCUCUCGGCAGAAUAAAAUCCCUGGGUCGGACUCAUUCUAACAGAGAACAGUUUGUACAAACCAUAGUCCAGCAAGAGAGUGAAGCAGUCCUCGGGCUGUUUAUGGAAACAUUCAAGGCAGUUGCUGGUGUAUUUGCAGACAUCAAUGCAUGUCGGGAUUUUUUUGGCUGGGUCACGCCAUGCAUCGUAGCGGCCCGACGUCAGCUGCUGGGUGAAGGCAAUUCAGUUGUGCAACACCAGAUUCUGGCUGAAAGGGAGCAAUUACGUCAUUUGGAAAACGACAUUUGGAAGCUCCAGACAACUAUGCCCAAGAUGCUUGACCUUAUUGAGCGUGUUGAGUGGCAGAGCCAUAAGAAACCAGCAGCCGAGCUUCUCCCGCACAUCAAGGAUGCAGUUUAUGAUGCUGAGGACUUUCUUGAUGAGUUCAAAUAUUAUGCACUCAAGUUGAAGCUUGAGGAGAGCAAGAAUUCAGGUGAAGAACACAUGCAUGCUGCCUUUCUAGAGUUCUUCAAAAGUAUCAACAAUUGUGACCACUUCAACAAAGUGAAGGAAAUCCAGAGCGGGCUGGGCGAAACGGCUUAUCAAUCGAAGGAUUUGAGAUUGCAUAAAGCACCAUUGAAGUUUGACAAAUCAAUCAGGCCAGAAACAAGUGCUUUUUCUGAGGUGCCACAAAUAUUUGGCCGUGAAAAAGAACUGAAACACUUGGUUCAAAAGUUAGGAGUACAUACAAGCAAGAGAGGGAGGACCGAGAAUGAAGCCAGAGCGACUGAUUUGUGUGUGCUUCCCAUAUUUGGUAUGGGGGGUGUCGGAAAAACAACUAUUGCACAACAAAUCUGCGAUGAUGCAAAAGUGAAGGAGCACUUUGACUGCAUAAUUUGGACUUGUGUUUCUGAUGAUUUCGACAUAAAGAGGUUAAUUAAAGAGAUUCUGGAGCAGAUGGAACAAGAUACAACAUUUGAUAAUCUGAAUAACCACGUGAGAAAACUGGCUCAUUCUGUGGAAUCUAAGAAGUUGUUACUUGUCCUUGAUGACAUGUGGGGUGAUGCAUUGAGAAAUGGUGGCGCGGAGUGGGACAAAUUUUGCGUACCUUUGAGAAAUGCUCUUCAAGGAAGUAUGAUUUUGGUCACCACUAGAUUUUUUGAGGUUGCUAAUCUAGUCAGCACUGGCAUGAAGAGCUUUGAGUUGGAGGGCUUGCAAGAUGCUAUUUUCUGGGAGUUCUUCAAAUUUUGUGCAUUCGGAUCCAAUAGGAGUUGCAACGACCUAGAGUUGGAGUGCAUUGGAAAAGACAUACUUCCUAAGUUGAAGGGUUCUCCCUUGGCUGCCAAAACUCUUGGACGCUUGUUGCAAAGGGACCUAAGCACAACACAUUGGGAAUCUAUAUUGACAAGUGAGUUGUGGCAAUUAGAACAAGAUGUGGCUGACAUUUUGCCAGCCCUUAGAUUGAGUUAUAUGUACCUACCACCAUUAUUGAAGAAGUGCUUCUCAAUUUGUGCAAUGUAUCCCAAAGAUCACCAAUUUGAUAAAAUGUUUUUAUCAGAUAUUUGGAUAGCACAAGGAUAUGUGGAACCUCAAGAGGCAUCCUUGUGUUUUGAUGAGCUUGUAAAAGGAUCAUUCUUUCAGAGAGCAGCUGAACAAAAUAACAAGUAUGUUAUUCAUGAUUUGAUGCAUGAUACGGCACAGCUGGUCUCAAUGUAUGAAUGCUUCAUCAUAAAACACGCA